AUGCCAUCAAUCCCGGCCAUCCAUGAAGAGAUUUAUCAAAGCCCCUCAGGAACCCACCAAUUCAUUACACGGUUCAUCAUCGAGCUUCAACUAAUGCUGAGAGCAGAAGCUAGAGGAACAACACCACCAAGAGUUACAGCGGCUAGACCUAAAGCUCCACCGCUGGGAUUUGCAAAGAUUCACAUUGAUGCGGGAAUUUCUAGAGCCCAUGCAAGGAGUGCAGCUGCGGCAGUGUGUCGAGAUGAGUCGGGUAACUUUAUGGGUAGCUCGGCCCUGGUGAUCACUGGCAUAACUGAUGUGGCGACGGUGGAAGCGAUUGCUUGUCUUCAGUAUAGCCUGGGACUCAAAACAGAUGGUGAGUGA
rnacentral:rRNA from 1 species